CAGUCUUUGGUACCCGAGGAAGAAGACGAGAAGACAGUGCACCAGUCCUCCCCUAGAAUAGUGUUUGCCAAAGAACUUUUCCCAUGUCCAGUUUUCCCCAGGAUGCAUAAAGACUAGACAUUACUACUAGGGCAGCACCUGACAGUAAAAGUAAACCCACUUUCCCAAAGAAGUCAAGAUCUUCAAAUAUAACCAGUUAUAAAGUGAAGAAAUCACCAGACAAGUCAUUAUCGAAGAAGAAGAGGAGUGACAAAAAGUCCACACAGAAGUAUCUCACCAGCAGAGUUGCAGAUUUGAGAGACGUAAUGGCAGUCUCUCUGACAAAACAUCAAAGCUCUGUUGCCUAUUCCUAACAUCAGUCCUGCCUCGUUUCAAUGGCCAACACCGAAUUUAAGGAGGAGGAACAAGUUGCAUGGUACCCAAGAUCAGUUCGUAAGAGACCUGAUCAGCAGAUUGGUGACGAUAGAUGCAAUCAAGAAGGCUGGGAGCCUGUCCAAUGUGAAAUUGACAGAUCCUAAUAAUCAGUAAUCUAAUGACCACCUAUUCCAUAGGACCAAAGGUCAAGAAGUGUAACACAAGAACUGCAUCAAUCUCAGAGAAUUUAAACAUGAUGUCAGGAAGUACUUGGAGAAAGCAAGAGUACACGUUAGAGAAGUUCCUUCUUGGUGAUGAGGUCCUCUUCCAUGUGGCUGACAUCAGGAGAAGAACAGAGUUUGACUUAAACUCUAUUGUUUAUCUCACAAAGAGAUUUCCAUGCCUCAAGUUUGAUCUGAGUCAGCUUGAACAUCGGUUUGUGACUUUUCAGGUAACUAUGAUUAAACUUGUGAUAAGUUAGCUUGAUAAAAUUGAUGUGAUUGAGAGUGAUUAUGAUGAAAGUAAUGUGUGAUUAAUGUUCAACAAUGAGCAAGUCUUGUCCUGAAUAUAUUUCCAUAAUGUAUUAACAUUUGUGAUUCAUAUAGUUAUUAUGUACAUAUUAAAAUAAAAAAAUGCAGCAAA